rnacentral:rRNA from 1 species
UACGAAGGGGGCGAGCGUUGUUCGGAAUUACUGGGCGUAAAGGGCGCGCAGGCGGCUCUGAAAGUCAGAUGUGAAAGCCCCGGGCUUAACCUGGGAAUUGCAUUUGAUACUCUGGAGCUUGAGUACGGGAGAGGAGAGUGGAAUUCCCAGUGUAGAGGUGAAAUUCGUAGAUAUUGGGAAGAACACCGGUGGCGAAGGCGGCUCUCUGGACCGUAACUGACGCUGAGACGCGAAAGCGUGGGGAGCAAACAGG